GAAAAAUCAUACGGGCAAAGCAUAAUGAAAUCCAAGCAGUGAAUAUUAAGACAGUUGGUGCUGAUUUUGAGGUCACAGACGGUGAAAGAUUGCCUUUGGCUGUGAAAGAGUUGGGAAGUUACGAUCUUUAUCCACAAAGCUUAAAGCAUAAUCCCAAUGGAAGAUUUGUUGUUGUUUGCGGAGAUGG